AUAUAAAUAUAGAGAAGAAUAGGAGGUGCACUAUUCUGAGUGGAGACUAGAGGUGUGCAUCAGGAUUGGGAUUGCUCAGGAUGCAACAAAAAGUCAUGGUAUCAGUGUGCUGUAUGUGGGAAGGGCUGGUUGAAGUUUGAGUACUCCUGCUACUUCAUAGCUAGGGAGCGUCUAACCUGGCAGCAGAGCAUCGAGGAGUGUCAGAAACAGGACGGAGACCAACGGAGUCCAUUGUCAUUGACAAUGAACAUGUGCAGCUACUGGGCCCGUGGCGAACCAGAAGCAUACACUCAAGGCUCCUGUGCACUGAUAAAGGUAGUGAGGUCACAAAUGAACAACUGGAUUUCAAACUGCUGUGAGGUGCUACAU